rnacentral:pre_miRNA from 1 species
CCAAAACUAGCUACUUCUCUUUUUUUUAAUUGGUUCUUAGUGUGUUAAAAUUUUCUAAGAACCAAAUAGAAAAUGACAGGUGGCUAGUUUUGG